UUAGGAAUCUUCCACAAUGGGCGAAAGCCUGAUGGAGCGACGCCGCGUGAGGGAUGAAGGCCUUAGGGUUGUAAACCUCUAAAAGAGGGACGAUAAUGACGGUACCUCUUGAAUAGCACCGGCUAACUCCGUGCCAGCAGCCGCGGUAAUACGGAGGGUGCAAGCGUUAUCCGGAAUCACUGGGCGUAAAGGGCGCGUAGGCGGUCUGUUAAGUCCGAUGUUAAAUCCCGGGGCUCAACCCCGGAUAAGCGUUGGAUACUGGCAGGCUAGACGGUUGGAGAGGCGAGUGGAAUUACCAGUGUAGCGGUUGAAUGCGUAGAUACUGGUAGGAACACCCAUUGCGAAGGCAGCUCGCUGGACAACACGUGACGCUGAGGCGCGAAAGUGUGGGGAGCAAACC
rnacentral:rRNA from 1 species